AACACGAUUUUUCUUUUGAAAAUACGUUUGUUAAAGCCUCUGUAAGUCUGUUAAUUCAUAAUCUUCAGAUUGUAAAUAUUUUCCUCCAUAUAUUUCUGGCAUGUAUGUUUAAAAUUGGUUGCUCAAAGAGGAAAAUUCACUGCUUUGCCCUACAAGAUGGCAGCUAAGGGGAAUAACUCCUAGGCAAAAUAUGUCAAAGAAGUAGGUAAAAUGAUAUGCCUGGUAAAGUUCUCAUGAAAAGAGCUGCCCCCCCCUUUUUUUUUUUUAUAAAUAUCAGCUGUUAUAGCCAUUAGGUUUUAACUUGUGUACAUGUACAUUCAAAAAUAUAUGCUGAUAUAAAGAAGCUAAGUUAUCAUGGUAGUACAUUAUAUAAUAGGCCUAUCAAGAAGGCAAGACAGGAGUCUCAGGGGCGGAUCCAGGAAUUGAAGUUAAGGGGGGUUGCAAGAGUUUAGGCAGGGGGUCUGGUUGCCACCUUGAGGCCCCCAGAGGGUCCAGGGCAAAGCCCUGGUGGGGGUCCUUGGGGCGAAGCCCCUGGAAGUUCAUGGUUUCUAGAGCUAGGUUUUGUAGGGUAAAAUUGAGGUCUACCGAGUACCAAGUAGACAUUUUAAACGUUUUCUGGACAAAACUAUGUUUUAUGCUAACUUUGACAAUUUUAGGGGGCACGCACCGGGUAUAUAUGCCCCAACUUAAAUCCGCCACUGAGUCAAAGCCUAGUUACUUUCCAAUGAUGAGUUGUCACGUAUAAUAUACUCACUACUGUAGGUCUAUAUUCUUUAUUGUGGUUACCAAAAAUAAUAAUGGCCAAGCUAAAAGCAGUUGCCAACCUAUAAUUUUUAGACUGUGUACGUAGGAAGGUAGUGAUAUUAAAGGCAUUUUAAAAAAUAAAAUGUUUUCAGAUUUUUGAUUUCAGAUUUCAGAUAACAAAUAAUAGAGCUUUUCAUAGAUGUCCCCCACUAAAUAUGAAUAAGCUCCACUCUUCAUCUCUUGUCAAAAUCACAGCUGUUUGGUAAACAACAAUUGAACAAAGUCAAAAAUAAAAUAUAGUUUUAAUGUCCUAAAAUAUUGAGAAAAAAUUAUUACAAAUGGCUAGAAGAAAUUAAUUGUGUCAGGUGCGUUUUCUAUGGGACAGUAGGCAACUGCCAACAAACAAAUAUUUAUUUAUAAAGCCUAUGUUUUAAAAUAUUUAGUAAAUAUUGUACAUGUGUAUUCUAUACUUACAGGUAUUUCCUUGUAAUAAGCAGAUGGUACUCCAUUAUACUGCACUGAUAGCUUCUCAAAGAUUAAAAAAUUAAUAUGAUACAUGCAAACAGGCACAGUUAAAAUGUCAAUCAUCACAAGAUCAAACUUCAGUACCAGAGUAACCCUAAAUCAAUUAUCAUCCUGAUUUGUCAAAAGACUACAUAGAACAGUCUGGAGGUGGAAAAUGAUAGAUCAUUUGGAGAGGACCCUGUUAAAGCAGUCAUAAAUAUGUUUCACAAAACAAUGAACACCUUGUUACAGCAUAUCUUGAACAGCCUAGAACAGAGAACAGUCUGGAGGUGGAAACUGAUGGAUCACUUGAAGAGGAAACUGUUAAAGCACAGAGACAUGUACCAAGGAACAACAAGACAUGAUUGUUGCAGCAUAUUUUGAACAACCUGGCAUAAGUGUUUACUAACAACACCACCUCAACAGAACUUCAAGAUAAAGAAAUUUUAUGUGAUGAGAACCUCAAUAAAGAAGAUAGAAAAAGAUCAAUCGUUUUAGUUUUUAAUGUAGAAGCUGAUGUCACA